AUGUCCAUGAACGGAAAAAUAAAGAAAAUAUCGAGAAGAAAGUAUCAAGUACCUGUGGAAAGCACACCUGCUCUCAAAAAGGAUGGAGGACUAGGCCUCGCGCUUGCGCAUCAGGUGCCCCUGACCAGGAGCGAGAUCUCGCGGGAUCUCAGGCAAGUGUCGAGUUACCCACAAGGCUGUGCCUCGGGACCGGAAGCACCGCUGGGACCUGGAGUUUUGAGACCCGGCGCCAGGCCCUGCCCUGACCGCGUGAGGUGGGCGAGGUGUGAUGGCCGGGAUGGUGUGAAGAGACGGUCAGAAGUCCGAGGAAAAGAGGUCCGCUCUGUCAUGGAGUUCGUGGGGGCGCUGAGGGUGCAUUUUGCAAUUAGUUCUGCCCCAAAACUGCCUGCAGCCCGGCCCCUCCCUCGCCGUGCAGCGCGGCCCCCUGUCAUCUUAGGGUUUUGCCGCCGUCUCUCCUUCUGCUGGCCUCGCGUAUCUCCGCGCCGCCUGGCUCACUCGGGAUGUCUGCCGAAAAGCCGGCGCAGCAGGCUGGUCUCCAAGGAUGUGCAAGAGCAGCUGUGGACUAUAACUGAGAGGAGUUAUCUUUGCAUUUUUCAUUGUUGCUUGUUUUUAUUUAUUUGAUUACCAAUGAGUUUAUCAACUUAUAUUUGUUGAAAUGUAUAUUUCUAAUUCUUUAAAUUGCUUAAAUUUUCUCUUUAUAUUAUAUAGUCCAUUGAAUAUAUUUUUAUAUACAUAGAUUAAUAAAUGUGCAGGUGGGGCACCUGAGUGGCUCA
ensembl:lncRNA